rnacentral:rRNA from 1 species
UGGGGAAUCUUGCGCAAUGGGCGAAAGCCUGACGCAGCGACGCCGCGUGAGUGAUGAAGGCCUUCGGGUUGUAAAGCUCUGUGGAGGGGGACGAAUAAGGGCCGUCGAAUAGACGGCCCGAUGACGGUACCCCUUUAGCAAGCACCGGCUAACUCUGUGCCAGCAGCCGCGGUAAGACAGAGGGUGCAAACGUUGUUCGGAAUUACUGGGCGUAAAGCGCGUGUAGGCGGCCCGGCAAGUCGGGUGUGAAAGCCCUGGGCUUAACCUAGGAAGUGCACUCGAAACUGCCAAGCUUGAGUUCUGGAGAGGAAGGCGGAAUUCUCGGUGUAGAGGUGAAAUUCGUAGAUAUCGAGAGGAACACCGGUGGCGAAGGCGGCCUUCUGGACAGCAACUGACGCUGAGACGCGAAAGCGUGGGGAGCAAACAGG